AUUUGAAUAGUUUAAUGAAAAUAUUGAUUUGUGGAGUCAGAGUUAUAAAUUUAAUUAUUUCAGAUA
rnacentral:tRNA from 1 species